rnacentral:tRNA from 1 species
CGGAGUAUAGCGCAGCUUGGCUAGCGCGCUUCGUUCGGGACGAAGAGGUCGUGGGUUCGAAUCCCACUACUCCGA